rnacentral:snRNA from 1 species
GGAUGUGAGGGCAGUCUGGCUGUGUCAUCUAUCACCCCAUUGAUCGCCAGGGUUGACUCCUCUGAUCUGGCUGGCUAGGUGGGUAUCCCUGUCCUCCCUCACCAUGCCAUUUGUGUCCCUCCCAAAGCUGUGAAGCUGUGUGCUCUGUCAGUGGAAGAGGAAGGACCUUCCCUGAUAGAGGAGGACCAUUCUUCUAUCAGGACUAGCUGUGCUCCCCUGCUAGAACCUCCAAACGAGCUCUUAAGGUCCAAUUGUAGGAGAACGUAGGAUAGUCAAGCUUCCAAGACUCCAGACACAUCCAAAUGAGGCACCACAUGUGGCACUCUGCCUUUCUUU